GAUGAAGAACGUAGCGAAAUGCGAUACUUGGUGUGAAUUGCAGAAUCCCGUGAACCAUCGAGUCUUUGAACGCAAGUUGCGCCCGAAGCCUCGGCUAAGGGCACGUCUGCCUGGGCGUCACGCAUCGCGUCUCCCCCAAACCGCCAAGGCGGAGGGGAAGGAAGAUGGCUUCCCGUGCCUCACCCGGCGCGGUUGGCCUAAAUUUGGAGCCCGCGGCACUUAGCUCACGCGGCGAUAGGUGGUGAACAAGGCCUUGGCCGUGCAAACAACCCGCUGCGAAGCUCUAUGUCACGUGCGUUCGUCGGACCCUUUGAAGUUGCCUUCGGUGACUUAAAACCUUUGCGACCCCAGGUCAGGCGGGGCUACCCGCUGAAUUUAAGCAUAUCAAUAAGCGGAGGA
rnacentral:misc_RNA from 1 species